rnacentral:rRNA from 1 species
UACGUAGGGACCGAGCGUUGUCCGGAUUCAUUGGGCGUAAAGAGCUCGUAGGCGGCCACUCAAGUCGAAUGUGAAACCUCGAGGCUUAACCUCGAGCCUGCAUUCGAUACUGGGCGGCUAGAGUCUGGUAGGGGGAUCUGGAAUUCCUGGUGUAGCGGUGGAAUGCGCAGAUAUCAGGAGGAACACCAUGCGAAGGCAGGUCUCUGGGCCGACACUGACGCUGAGGAGCGAAAGCGUGGGGAGCGAACAGG